GUAGGGAAUAUUGGGCAAUGGAGGCAACUCUGACCCAGCCAUGCCGCGUGCAGGAUGACGGCCCUCUGGGUUGUAAACUGCUUUUAUACGGGAAGAAAAAAUACUACGUGUAGUAUACUGACGGUACCGUAAGAAUAAGGAUCGGCUAACUCCGUGCCAGCAGCCGCGGUAAUACGGAGGAUCCAAGCGUUGUCCGGAUUUAUUGGGUUUAAAGGGUGCGUAGGCGGAUCUUUAAGUCAGUGGUGAAAGCCUGCAGCUUAACUGUAGAAUUGCCAUUGAAACUGGAGAGCUUGAAUGUGGUUAAAGUAGGCGGAAUGUAUCAUGUAGCGGUGAAAUGCUUAGAUAUGAUACAGAACACCGAUAGAGAAGGCAGCUUGCUGAACCAUUAUUGACGCUGAGGCACGAAAGCGUGGGGAGCGAACAGGAUUAGAUACCCUAGUAGUCC
rnacentral:rRNA from 1 species